GAAACUAGAAAAUUUUUCAGAACUUAAGAGAGCUAUGGAACAAUCAUGCUUAGAGAUACAUGACCUCAACCUCAACAGAGCUCGCUUGCAUAAGAGUUCAGAUUUCAGGACUUCAGUUUCACGGCAGAAUGCCUACAGAUGGCAGUUGCAUGUUUCAUGCAGUUCAAGACCAGCUUCAAUGAGUUCAUUCAACUGAAAAGUACAGUCACAGUGAAUUGCGAGCAAACACAAUUGCUUAUCUUGAAGCUCACCCAUUUCUUUUGAGCCAAAUGGACACACAGCUAGACAUGCCAUUCCCUUACUUCUUGGACACUACUCUGAAAACCACUAUGAAAGCCUGGACAUUGCAAUUAAUGAUGAUCCUGUCACAGAAACUGAAUCCAGCAACGAACUAGAAGUUACAAACAAAGCAGUACACUGUUGUUUGCAAGACUGGAAGUUUUUGAAGCACAGCCCACUGAAGCUGUUUCAAGUAAGUUCAUUUAUCACAUCAUGGAUAAGAAUAGAAUGGUACAGAUUAUGACAGGGAGUUUACCAAAGAAACAAAGACUUCAUCCGUUUUAUGUUCUGUCAUUGAAAGAGCAGAAAGAAGUGGAUGAAAUGAUGGCUACAAUAUUUAAUGAAGAGACUAGUAGCACACCUCUCAGAUGUUCCAACUUCCUUGGUUUAGUAACAGUUGGUGACAUAUCACGACUACAUCCCAAAUGAUGGCUCAAUGACAAUCUAAUCAAUGCGUUGUCACAUUUGUGGGAAAUUGAUGCUCAGCUUGUGGGAAAGAAAGUUAAGCAUUAAAUGCCUCCUUUUUUGAAAAGCUGGACAAAGAGGGCCCUCAAGCUUUAAGACCAUGGACAAGGAAAUGGCUGAAAGAACUUCUUCAUUAUGAUAUUCUCAUAAUGCCCAUACACUGGCCUAUAAAGCAGCAUUGGUGUUGUACUAUUAUAGACAUUAACAAGAAAGAAAUUCGUUACUAUGAUCCACAAAUGAUUAUGUGCUCAGACGUUUUUCCUAAGACAAGACAGUAGUUGUCAGAUACAACAAGACAGACAGGAGAAACAUUUGUGGAUGAUAACUGGCGUGACAUUACUGUGAAAAAUGCUCCAAGGCAGCUAGACAGUUGCAGCUGUGGAGUCUACUGUUUAAUGUACAUGAGACAAGAAGCAGUCACUAAUAACCAACACUUCAGUGAGAGUGACAUUGAUGAAAUUCGAUCUUGGCUAGUGCACAGACUAAUAACAUUUUCAGCUCAAAGCGUAACAACUCAGCAAAGCUCACCCUUGGAAACCGAUACCAAAACCAAAAACUUAAGUGAGAACAUGGAAAGUUUGCAGUCUCAGCUGUUUGAUACCUCGCUGCUGCGACUUUGUCAAACAGCAGCAAGUUCAGAAGAAUGGAGAGCAGAAGAUGACGAUAAUAUGCAAGUACGUUGUCACAUACAAAUGUGCUUACCUUAAAGGCUGAGCAGACCAAUUUGUCAUUUCUUGUUGCUCAAAUGCAGAUAAACGUAUGUAAGCAACAAGAAAUACCUGAAGACUGACCUUUUUUAUUGCAGUGGUGCUUAGCACUAGUCAAACAAUGAUUUAAACAUACUGUUGUUGUUGUUGUUGUUGUUGUUGUUAUGUAAAUGCAGCUCAGAGAACAUAGUAUAGCGCCUGGAGACUGCUGGCUUAGCAUUGAUCCCUGGGUAGCUCUGUGGAUGGACUACAGAAGUUUUAACAAUAUGCCUCCUUUGAAAACAGCUGGUGAUUUUGUUUUGGUGAGCAUUGACCAACACAUACAGCAGAGGGAAUUUACUUCAAGCACCACAACCUUUGACAUAUGUCUACUACCAGCACUUGAUUUGUUCAAAUUCUGGAGCACAUACAAGUGCAAGGAACCACGCCCAAACACUGUCCAUAGGAAUGGAAAAGAAUACCUAGCUCUUGACAAAUCUAUAGUAGAUGAUAUGUGCGUAUGGAUACAUGAAAUGAGAGAGCAGUUUGAGAAGCAUGGGAGAAACAUUUUUAAUUAAAUCAAGCUAGUAAACUCUUGACAUUAAGUAUAAUUGAUUGUUUGCAAAGUCCCCAGUACUAAUUUGUAAGCACUGUAACUGAAGUUUGUUGCUAAUUAAGUCUAUUCAUCAAUGGGCAUUUUGCUCUACAAUGCUAUAGAUUAUCUACUAUAAAUCAAAAGCUACAGUUCCUGAUCACCAAAGUGUAUUUAUUAUACAAGGUUCAAGUUCUACAUUUGAAAAGUAGGCUAUAUAAUUUCAACAGCAGCUCUAUUUCA